GGGUAGUAGAACAAUGGGAUUAUGCUGUCACAAAAAACAAAGAAAAAACAUAAUUUCUUAAAUCAUGGUCUGUCACUGAAUCUGGUUAUAAAACCUUAUCUUGCACUAGAAGGAUCUGUAGCUUUUCCAGCUGAGAAUGGGGUUCAGGAUACCGAAUCAACACUAGAAAAGAGAGAAACUGGGGAUGAAGAAAACUCAGCUAAAUUUCCUAUAGGAAGGAGAGAUUUUGACAUAUUCUCAGACCACUUCUACCAAAACAUAAAUCUGUGAUUGUGAUCUCUGAAAGUCAGUCCUUUUAUCUACUCAAAAGAAGACACUAAGGUUUUCAGAAAUUAAAUUGCUUUUUGGAAAAGGUGGGAGAUUCUGGGAACAUAGAAACUUGAAUCCAGUUUUCUUCAACUCCACGUCAAGACAGUUGCAUUGUGUGAGAAAAUAGCUACGGCCAUUUGUGUAACUGAUCUGAUAAUGUCAACUUUUGAAAACAGAUAGUUAUGACUCAAGGCUUUGAGAAUGUAAAGAGACGCCCUUCACAUGUUGAGAAAUGAAGUGUGAAACUGUCAGGAAGACAGAUGAAAUGAUUUGCCUGAGGCCGUAUCAUCAAACAAGAAAUUCAUAUUCACCUUUCUGGAAUUCUUAGGAUAAUGAUUACAUGUGUUCAAUUGUUAAAAAUUGGCAGAUAAAAUUUUAUGUAUUUACCACGUACAACAUGAAAUUUUGAAAC
rnacentral:lncRNA from 1 species